GUUUUGUAGAAGCAAAGCUCCACCUCAAGAAGCCAGAGCUCAGGAGGCAGAGAAGGCCAGGAGAACAUAACUGCACUUCAACCCUAAAUAAACAUCAGCCAAAAUUGGGGGGAGGAUUUUGGACUUGAAGGUAUGAGGAAAUUUGGAAAGGGAGAAGCUUGGAUAUUCCAAGAAAUGAAGCUUAAACCUCAAGAAAACAUUUUGAUAACUUUAAAAUUUCAAGUGUGUUCUCUCGUUCUCUUUCCUUCAGCUGCCUGGCAAGAAUGCGGACAUAAUUGUAGUUAAUUGUCUUGGAUAUGUAGAUAAAAGCAACUCACUAACGAGGAAUAAGAUUGAAAACGUCUUGUCUCCUGGUACUAGAGAGUUAACCAAGAAGUCCUGGACAACAUUCUCCUAGACAAUCAGGUGGUGUUGCCAUAUCCUUCUGAUCUUUGAAUCUGAACUGGCCUUGGUGGCUCAGUAGUAAUGAACAGACAUAAAGGAACAAAAGUGACACUGCGUGCCUUCAGAAGCUAGAUCAUUAAAAAUAGCACUGCUUUUGCUCUGCCCACUGGAGCACUCAGGCUUGGACCCAUGAGCCACCAUAGUGGAACCACUCUGAUAUUGAUAUGCUGUGAAGAAACUCAAUCCACUGAAGAAACCACAGGGGCUGCUGCAAGGUGAAACUGCAAAGCCUGCGACUGCAAUGCCUCUACCGCGGCCUUCAGUCAGCUGAAAGCAUUGGUCUCCUCCUCCAGUUCCUAGUGGUUUUCCACCACCUUGCACUUCUCCCUCCUGGUGGACCCGCUUCAG
rnacentral:lncRNA from 1 species